rnacentral:rRNA from 1 species
AGAGCGAACGCUGGCGGCAGGCUUAACACAUGCAAGUCGAGCGGGCGUAGCAAUACGUCAGCGGCAGACGGGUGAGUAACGCGUGGGAACGUACCUUUUGGUUCGGAACAACCCAGGGAAACUUGGGCUAAUACCGGAUAAGCCCUUACGGGGAAAGAUUUAUCGCCGAAAGAUCGGCCCGCGUCUGAUUAGCUAGUUGGUGGGGUAAUGGCCCACCAAGGCGACGAUCAGUAGCUGGUCUGAGAGGAUGAUCAGCCACAUUGGGACUGAGACACGGCCCAAACUCCUACGGGAGGCAGCAGUGGGGAAUAUUGGACAAUGGGCGCAAGCCUGAUCCAGCCAUGCCGCGUGAGUGAUGAAGGCCCUAGGGUUGUAAAGCCCUUUCGGCGGGGAAGAUAAUGACGGUACCCGCAGAAGAAGCCCCGGCUAACUUCGCGCCAGCAGCCGC